GAGUAGUGUAACCAAAGCCACAUGAAUUAUGAGGUUUUCCAAUCUAGCUGGUAGGAACAGACACUAUUACCAAUUUUGUUCCCACUAAGCCUUUUGGGUGGUUUUUAGUUGUAAUAGGAAUGACAGUAAAUCUGAUUCCUGUUAUUCCAUACUGGCUGGAAAUGAAAUGGACUUUUCCUACUUCUUAGAUGGAAGCUUUAGUCCUUGCUUUUACAACUUU
rnacentral:lncRNA from 10 species